GGUGGGGUGCUCAGUGCUAAAGUGUGUGCUUAGCAUGCACGAGGUCCUGGGUUCAAUCCCCAGUACCUCCA
rnacentral:tRNA from 1 species